UGCCAUGUGCUUGAUGCUGUGUAGGA
rnacentral:piRNA from 1 species